rnacentral:rRNA from 1 species
GUGUGACUGCGUACCUUUUGUAUAAUGGGUCAGCGACUUAUAUUCUGUAGCAAGGUUAACCGAAUAGGGGAGCCGAAGGGAAACCGAGUCUUAACUGGGCGUUAAGUUGCAGGGUAUAGACCCGAAACCCGGUGAUCUAGCCAUGGGCAGGUUGAAGGUUGGGUAACACUAACUGGAGGACCGAACCGACUAAUGUUGAAAAAUUAGCGGAUGACUUGUGGCUGGGGGUGAAAGGCCAAUCAAACCGGGAGAUAGCUGGUUCUCCCCGAAAGCUAUUUAGGUAGCGCCUCGUGAAUUCAUCUCCGGGGGUAGAGCACUGUUUCGGCAAGGGGGUCAUCCCGACUUACCAACCCGAUGCAAACUGCGAAUACCGGAGAAUGUUAUCACGGGAGACACACGGCGGGUGCUAACGUCCGUCGUGAAGAGGGAAACAACCCAGACCGCCAGCUAAGGUCCCAAAGUCAUGGUUAAGUGGGAAACGAUGUGGGAAGGCCCAGACAGCCAGGAUGUUGGCUUAGAAGCAGCCAUCAUUUAAAGAAAGCGUAAUAGCUCACUGGUCGAGUCGGCCUGCGCGGAAGAUGUAACGGGGCUAAACCAUGCACCGAAGCUGCGGCAGCGACGCUUAUGCGUUGUUGGGUAGGGGAGCGUUCUGUAAGCCUGNAUGCUGGAGGUAUCAGAAGUGCGAAUGCUGACAUAAGUAACGAUAAAGCGGGUGAAAAGCCCGCUCGCCGGAAGACCAAGGGUUCCUGUCCAACGUUAAUCGGGGCAGGGUGAGUCGACCCCUAAGGCGAGGCCGAAAGGCGUAGUCGAUGGGAAACAGGUUAAUAUUCCUGUACUUGGUGUUACUGCGAAGGGGGGACGGAGAAGGCUAUGUUGGCCGGGCGACGGUUGUCCCGGUUUAAGCGUGUAGGCUGGUUUUCCAGGCAAAUCCGGAAAAUCAAGGCUGAGGCGUGAUGACGAGGCACUACGGUGCUGAAGCAACAAAUGCCCUGCUUCCAGGAAAAGCCUCUAAGCAUCAGGUAACAUCAAAUCGUACCCCAAACCGACACAGGUGGUCAGGUAGAGAAUACCAAGGCGCUUGAGAGAACUCGGGUGAAGGAACUAGGCAAAAUGGUGCCGUAACUUCGGGAGAAGGCACGCUGAUAUGUAGGUGAAGUCCCUCGCGGAUGGAGCUGAAAUCAGUCGAAGAUACCAGCUGGCUGCAACUGUUUAUUAAAAACACAGCACUGUGCAAACACGAAAGUGGACGUAUACGGUGUGACGCCUGCCCGGUGCCGGAAGGUUAAUUGAUGGGGUUAGCGCAAGCGAAGCUCUUGAUCGAAGCCCCGGUAAACGGCGGCCGUAACUAUAACGGUCCUAAGGUAGCGAAAUUCCUUGUCGGGUAAGUUCCGACCUGCACGAAUGGCGUAAUGAUGGCCAGGCUGUCUCCACCCGAGACUCAGUGAAAUUGAACUCGCUGUGAAGAUGCAGUGUACCCGCGGCAAGACGGAAAGACCCCGUGAACCUUUACUAUAGCUUGACACUGAACAUUGAGCCUUGAUGUGUAGGAUAGGUGGGAGGCUUUGAAGUGUGGACGCCAGUCUGCAUGGAGCCGACCUUGAAAUACCACCCUUUAAUGUUUGAUGUUCUAACGUUGACCCGUAAUCCGGGUUGCGGACAGUGUCUGGUGGGUAGUUUGACUGGGGCGGUCUCCUCCUAAAGAGUAACGGAGGAGCACGAAGGUUGGCUAAUCCUGGUCGGACAUCAGGAGGUUAGUGCAAUGGCAUAAGCCAGCUUGACUGCGAGCGUGACGGCGCGAGCAGGUGCGAAAGCAGGUCAUAGUGAUCCGGUGGUUCUGAAUGGAAGGGCCAUCGCUCAACGGAUAAAAGGUACUCCGGGGAUAACAGGCUGAUACCGCCCAAGAGUUCAUAUCGACGGCGGUGUUUGGCACCUCGAUGUCGGCUCAUCACAUCCUGGGGCUGAAGUAGGUCCCAAGGGUAUGGCUGUUCGCCAUUUAAAGUGGUACGCGAGCUGGGUUUAGAACGUCGUGAGACAGUUCGGUCCCUAUCUGCCGUGGGCGCUGGAGAACUGAGGGGGGCUGCUCCUAGUACGAGAGGACCGGAGUGGACGCAUCACUGGUGUUCGGGUUGUCAUGCCAAUGGCACUGCCCGGUAGCUAAAUGCGGAAGAGAUAAGUGCUGAAAGCAUCUAAGCACGAAACUUGCCCCGAGAUGAGUUCUCCCUGACUCCUUGAGAGUCCUGAAGGAACGUUGAAGACGACGACGUUGAUAGGCCGGGUGUGUAAGCGCAGCGAUGCGUUGAGCUAACCGGUACUAAUGAACCGUGAGGCUUAA